GAUGAACGCUGGCGGCGUGCCUAAUACAUGCAAGUCGAGCGAACAGACGAGGAGCUUUCUCCUCUGACGUUAGCGGCGGACGGGUGAGUAACACGUGGAUAACCUACCUAUAAGACUGGGAUAACUUCGGGAAACCGGAGCUACUACCGGCUAAUAUAUUGAACCGCAUGGUUCAAUAGUGAAAGACGGUUUUGCUGUCACUUAUAGAUGGAUCCGCGCCGCAUUAGCUAGUUGGUAAGGUAACGGCUUACCAAGGCAACGAUGCGUAGCCGACCUGAGAGGGUGAUCGGCCACACUGGAACUGAGACACGGUCCAGACUCCUACGGGAGGCAGCAGUAGGGAAUAUUCCGCAAUGGGCGAAAGCCUGACGGAGCAACGCCGCGUGAGUGAUGAAGGUCUUCGGAUCGUAAAACUCUGUUAUUAGGGAAGAACAAAUGUGUAAGUAACUAUGCACGUCUUGACGGUACCUAAUCAGAAAGCAACGGCUAACUACGUG
rnacentral:rRNA from 1 species